GACGUAGGGCGCGAGCGUUGUCCGGAUUUAUUGGGCGUAAAGAGCUCGUAGGCGGCUUGUCGCGUCGUCCGUGAAAACUUGGGGCUCAACCCCAAGCUUGCGGUCGAUACGGGCAGGCUAGAGUUCGGUAGGGGAGACUGGAAUUCCUGGUGUAGCGGUGUAAUGCGCAGAUAUCAGGAGGAACACCGGUGGCGAAGGCGGGUCUCUGGGCUGAUACUGACGCUGAGGAGCGAAAGCGUGGGGAGCAAACAGG
rnacentral:rRNA from 1 species